rnacentral:snRNA from 1 species
ACACUUACCCGGUGCCGGGGCCCCGUCGAUCCCCAAGAACGGGGUACCAGGGCGAGGCGCGGGCAUUGCACUGCGCUCGCGUGACCCCUGCCGAUCCCCAAACUGGGACAGAUGCGGCAUGCAAAUUGC